rnacentral:piRNA from 1 species
UCAAUAGUUAGUAGAAGUGGGUUGAUUGGU